rnacentral:rRNA from 1 species
UUGAACGCUGGCGGCAUGCCUUACACAUGCAAGUCGAACGGCAGCACGGGGGCAACCCUGGUGGCGAGUGGCGAACGGGUGAGUAAUACAUCGGAACGUGCCCUGAAGUGGGGGAUAACGUAGCGAAAGUUACGCUAAUACCGCAUAUUCUGUGAGCAGGAAAGCGGGGGACCUUCGGGCCUCGCGCGAUUGGAGCGGCUGAUGUCGGAUUAGCUAGUUGGUGGGGUAAAGGCCUACCAAGGCGACGAUCCGUAGCUGGUCUGAGAGGAUGAUCAGCCACACUGGGACUGAGACACGGCCCAGACUCCUACGGGAGGCAGCAGUGGGGAAUUUUGGACAAUGGGCGCAAGCCUGAUCCAGCCAUGCCGCGUGAGUGAAGAAGGCCUUCGGGUUGUAAAGCUCUUUCAGACGGAAAGAAAUCGGGCGCGUGAAUAGCGUGCCUGGAUGACGGUACUGUCAGAAGAAGCACCGGCUAACUACGU